rnacentral:rRNA from 1 species
GAUGAACGCUGGCGGCGUGCCUAAUACAUGCAAGUAGAACGCUGAAGGCGGAGCUUGCUCUUCUGGAUGAGUUGCGAACGGGUGAGUAACGCGUAUGUCACCUGCCUGGUAGCGGGGGAUAACUAUUAGAAACGAUAGCUAAUACCGCAUGACAACAGUUCUUGCAUGAUAACUGUUUAAAAGGGGCAACUGCUCCACUACCAGAUGGACCUGCGUUGUAUUAGCUUGUUGGUGAGGUAACGGCUCACCAAGGCGACGAUACAUAGCCGACCGGAGAGGGGGAUCGGUCACACUGGGCCUGAGACACGGCCCAGACCCCUACGGGAGGCAGCAGUAGGGAAUCUUCGGCAAUGGACGGAAGUCUGACCGAGCAACGCCGCGUGAGUGAAGAAGGGUGUCGGAUCGUAAAGCGCUGUUGUAAGAGAAGAACGAGUGUGAGAGUGGAAAGUUCACACUGUGACGGUAUCUGACCAGAAAGGGACGGCUAACUACGUG